UCAGGGGAAAUAAACAGCCCUGGGAUUAAAGAACAAAAGAUACUCCCUCCUCCACCUUGACCUAGAUGUCCAGAAGAGGUCAGCAUGUGUCGGGAUUCGGGAUGUGGCUGUGCAUGUCUUAGCCAGCUGGGCAGAGCACUGGCAUGAUUUUCCUGGCCCCUCUCCAAAGCUCAGCCAUUAACGACUCCUGGGUCUUCAGCCAGAAGGGAAGCUCAUGCCCUCCUCCAUGUGGAAAUGUUAGUGGCCGGAUCUUGUGUGAGUUGUGUGAAGCUGGAUGAGACCUCGCUUUUUUCAGAGCCUCUUGCCUGAGCCCUGCUUCUCCUGUCUGUCUUACUUGCACACACUCCCC